CUUUACGACCAUAGAGCGUUGGAACCACCUGAUUGAUCCCAUCCCGAACUCAGUAGUGAAACGAUGCAUCGCCGAUGGUAGUGUGGGGUUUCCCCAUGUGAGAGUAGGUCAUCGUCAAGC
rnacentral:rRNA from 1 species